rnacentral:rRNA from 1 species
UAAAACCAGCACCUCAAGUGGUCAGGAGGAUUAUUGGGCCUAAAGCAUCCGUAGCCGGCUCUGUAAGUUUUCGGUUAAAUCCAUGUGCUCAACGCAUGGGCUGCCGAAAAUACUGCAUAGCUAGGGAGUGGGAGAGGUAGACGGUACUCGGUAGGAAGGGGUAAAAUCCUUUGAUCUAUCGAUGACCACCUGUGGCGAAGGCGGUCUACCAGAACACGUUCGACGGUGAGGGAUGAAAGCUGGGGGAGCAAACCGGAUUAGAUACCCGGGUAGUCCCAGCUGUAAACGAUGCAGACUCGAUGAUGCAUUGGCAUAUAGCCAGUGCAGUGUCGCAGGGAAGCCGUUAAGUCUGCCGCCUGGGAAGUACGUACGCAAGUAUG